CGGGGAGUAGCGCAGCCUGGUAGCGCACCUCGUUCGGGACGAGGGGGUCGGAGGUUCGAAUCCUCUCUCCCCGACCA
rnacentral:tRNA from 1 species